rnacentral:tRNA from 1 species
UAAGCUUUAGUUUAUUGUUGAGAAUGUUCGAUUGUUAAUCGAAAGGAGUUUUAAAAACAAGCUUAG